GUUUGAUUAGCUCAGUGGUAGAGCAAGCCGAAAUGAACGGUUGAGCGUAGGUUCGAUUCCUACAUCAAACU
rnacentral:tRNA from 2 species